UAGCAUGAUUAGGGGGGAAGUUUGAUGCUGGCCUUGCGCGUCUCGCAGAGGCAUGUGCGCGCUUUCCCUCCCAUCCUACAUACACCUGUGCACCUAUGGCGAGUGCCUCCCAUUUUGGAGCCGUUCAAUGUCCUGAAGAGGGGCUGAGGACCGAGGCGCUCCCUCUUUUCUUAUCAUCUCAGCCUGUUUGAAUGCAUGUUCGAGCUUCCAUGCGGAGCUGAAAAAAAAGUAAUA
rnacentral:misc_RNA from 1 species